rnacentral:rRNA from 1 species
AUUGAACGCUGGCGGCGUGCUUAACACAUGCAAGUCGAGCGGUAACAGGCGUAGCAAUACGUGCUGACGAGCGGCGAACGGGUGCGUAAUACAUCGGAAUCUGCCUCGUAGUGGGGAAUAACCCGGCGAAAGCCGGGCUAAUGCCGCAUACGAUCCACGGAUGAAAGCGGGGGACCGUAAGGCCUCGCGCUAUGAGAUGAGCCGAUGUCGGAUUAGCAGUUGGUGAGGUAACGGCUCACCAAGGCGACGAUCCGUAGCUGGUCUGAGAGGACGGCCAGCCACACUGGGACUGAGACACGGCCCAGACCUCCGUACGGGAGGCAGCAGGUGGGGAAUAGUUGGACAAGUACGGGGGAAACCCUGAUCCAGCGACCGCCGCGUGUGUGAAGGAA